GGAAUGGAUCCAGUCAAGGUUGGACCAAUUAAAUUUGCUAGAUGAGACAAGGUUAGCGGCGGCGUGUCACGGGCGGUUAUAUCAAAGAAGAAUGGCCAGGGCAUUUAACAAAGGUGUUCGCUCACGUGAAUUUCAACCAGGGUACCUAAUCCUGAAGAAGGUGCUUCUGAAUCAAAACGAUCCCCGGGAUAAAUGGUCACCAACCUAUGAGGGAUCCUAUGUGGUUAAGAAAGCAUUUU
rnacentral:misc_RNA from 1 species